AUUUAGUUUUAUUCUUGCUGUUUUAUUCAGUGUUGUCUUGUUUUAUAUGUAUGUUUUUGCGUGAUUAGUUUAUUUCUCUUGAUGGGGUUUAUGUUGGUCAUAAUAUUUAUUCGCAUUAUUUAUUUUUAAAUAUCUUGGUUUUUUGGAUUUAGCAAUGACUUUUUUGUGCCGGCUAAGUUUGUGCCAGCAGCCGCGGUUAUACAUGUGGCGCUAUUGAAUAUUUUCGGUUAUGCAGUUCUAUUAAUUUUUGUUCUUGGGUUUUAGUUUUUUUUGUUUUGUGGGUGGAAUCUUUAUUUUUGUUUAUUGCUCUUUAAUUUAUUGUAGGCUGUGAAAUCUUUACUUUAAACUAGGAUUAGAUACCCUAUUAUUUUUGACGUAAAUCUGUUUUUCCUGGGUAGUAUUAGUUAUGUUCUUGAAACCUAAAGAAUUUGGCGGUAUUCCAUCCUUCCAGAGGAAUCUGCCCCGUAAUCGAUGAUCCGCGUUGGACCUUACUUAAUUUUUUUGUUUGUAUACCGCCGUUAUAAUGAGGAUCUCUUAAGUGUUGUUGAAUCUUCUGGUUUCUUUAUUUUGAUUUAUUUCAGGUCAAGGUGCAGCUUGUUUUUAAGUGUGAGGUGGAUUACAUUUUGUUUUUGAUUUUGGAUUAUCAGUUGUAAUUUGAUAUGAAAGUGGAUUUGGUUGUAAUUGAAUGUAGAUUGUUUUGAUGAUAUUGGCUCUGGAAUAUGCACACAUCGCCCGUCGCUCUCAUUUUACGUUGAGAUAAGUCGUAACAAAGUAGCCGUACCGGAAGGUGUGGCUAGAAUGUC
rnacentral:ncRNA from 1 species